AGAGUUUGAUCAUGGCUCAGGAUGAACGCUAGCUACAGGCUUAACACAUGCAAGUCGAGGGGCAGCAUUUUAGUUUGCUUGCAAACUAAAGAUGGCGACCGGCGCACGGGUGAGUAACACGUAUCCAACCUGCCGAUAACUCGGGGAUAGCCUUUCGAAAGAAAGAUUAAUAUCCGAUAGUAUAUUUUCUCCGCAUGGCGAGAAUAUUAAAGAAUUUCGGUUAUCGAUGGGGAUGCGUUCCAUUAGUUUGUUGGCGGGGUAACGGGCCCACCAAGACUACGAUGGAUAGGGGUUCGUGAGAGGAAGGUCCCCCACCAUUGGAACUGAGACACGGUCCAAACUCCUACGGGAGGCAGCA
rnacentral:rRNA from 1 species